rnacentral:antisense_RNA from 1 species
AGUACGGUAUGCGGGAAGCAUAAAAAAUCGAUUAACAGGGACGUUUAUAAGGAAGAGAAAGGUAUUGCUGAGAACUUACUGAAAUGGUGCGUCCGAGUGGACUCGAACCACCGACCCCCACCA